rnacentral:tRNA from 1 species
AACUUAGUUGGUUAAAAGCAGUCGCCCGGCAAGCGAAAGACGCAGGUUCGAUUCCUGC